UAAUUUUUAUGUGUAUUCUAAAGUAUUCAUUUAUUUGACUAUCUGCUCUCAAUUUUUACAAUAUUAUAUUCAGCAGCCUGGAGGAAAAAAAUCCUACCAACUAAUGACCCAGAAAUAAAUUACAGUAGAUACACCUUAGGACGUAUGAGCUCUCUCAUCAAAUGACAUUGGCACAAGCCCAAACAACAAGAAUAAGAGCUUCUGAAAAUAUUUCAUCUAUGUGGCACUACAUCAUUCCCAUGCACUGUAUUCAUUCAUACAAGAAAUAUUAAGCAGUUAGUGCUAUUCCAUGUAUCAAGGGCUUUAAAAUAACUUUCUGAAUUAUGUCUCAGCAACAUAACAAAUCACACUAUCAAUUAGCUUUUAUAACAGAAAUGACAUUUCAUAAUAUAUUUUAGCAUGAAAAGAAUUGGUCAGCUAAAAUUUAUGUAAUCUGAAAAAUGUGGGGAGGGAAAAAAUCAUGGUGAAUUUAUUGUUGAUACUCUAGGACAAGAACAUAAUUUGAGUUGUACAUAGCUGUCCAAGAAAAGUGUGAGGUUUUAAAUGGUCUGCAGUAAAGAGCUGCAGCAAGUUUGCUACAAAAUUAUAAAACAAACAAAAAAAAGAGAAGCUCUGUCAUUAGUCCCUGGUGUAACCUCUUUCAAAUUAGACUGCCUUAAGCAGUCGUUCAAGGAUUUCAGGUCUCAUGUGUGUCUCUCUCUCCAGAGCUGCCGUGGCUGUUCCUGUCAGCACGGCUGUGGUCCCUGCUGUGCAAAGGGUUGUGGUGGAGCAGAUCCCCAAAUGGAGCAGCUGCUGCUGUAGGUGUUUGAAGGCAGGGAAAUUAGAGCAGAGUUGAGCAUGGUGUAUGGAUCAUUCCCAGAAUUAUUUAAUUAUUUAAGACCAUUCUUCUUGAGUUUGAACACUAAUUUAGUUCUAGUUUAGUGAUUUUACACCUUCUAAGCCUUCCAACCUGUGCUUUGGCACCAUCUGACCUGGAAGCUCUCCUGAAAUAGGGUAUCAGAGGGAAUUCAACCAUCCCAUACGAGUGUAAAUCCUCUCUUCUCUUGUGUGUGGGUGAAAGACCAGCUCAUCACUGUAGAGUCACCAGGAUGAACUUCUUAAAGUUCCCCUUUUAAAAAGUAUUAAUUAAUUUAUUCAUUAAUUCCAAAUGUAUUGUCUUCAUGUAGAUGCAAUGACAGAUAGUUAUCAACAUGGGUUUUAAGGAAGUGAUCAAGUUUAAACUGAAGGCAUGCCUAUGUGCCCUGAAAUAUUUACUGGUCAGUGGAAGACCCAAAUUGGUACUCAGGUGAUAAAUUGAUGGAAUACUUCUCAGCCAGUGAUAGAAGAGUGCAUGGGGUCUUUCAUGAACAUGGUAGCAGCAUUUUCAAAAGUAGCAGGCACAGUAGUCUUCAUUUCAGAAUAAGAAGAAACGUAUUUAAUAUAGUGCAGUUUUCCAGAUGGCUGCUUAAGACUUAUGGUUACUUAAGACUUACUUAAGAGGAACAAUUUUAGAUCACUUAAUCCCAUUUCUAUAAUGGGAUUUAAAUGCAGUAUGGAAUGUUAACAAUAUUGCUGGUGUAUAAAAUACCAGUUAUAAUAUUCCCUGAAAUAUGAAUCUUGAUACCUAUGUAUGUAUACUUAAAAUAUAUUAAAGUAAACAUUGUAAUAGUCCAUGCAAUAGUCCAUCCAUGAAGAAAUUUUUUCAUCCUCUGUCAAAAGAGAGCACGAAGUUAGUUCAAACAGCUGAAGUUCAAACAGCUGAAGCCAACAAAAUAGAGACCCCUUUCAGAAGUAAAGGCCAGUAUUUUGGACUGGGAAGGUACAAGAAUUUAAAAGGGUGUUUUGUGACAGUGUCCAUUACUAUGGGAAAUUUAGGAAGAUACUUCAUUGUCACUGAAUAGCUACUGUGGUUUCUUUUCCCUUUGUUUCAUAUAAUGCUUCAUCCUCACACAUGAUGGCAUAAGAGGGUGAAAACUGUCAAGAUUAAACUGAAAGUGAGUCAGUCCUGAGCUCGAGUACAUGUCCUUUCCAGUAACUGAAUGUCCACAACUUGUCACUUUCCUUGAUGGUCUCAUUCUUGACAUUUAGCAUUUGAAAUUGUUAGGGAAACUAGAUGUUUACAAAGAUGUACAGAAACCUUUUCCAGAAAUCAUGGCUGCAGUAAUUGAGGAUUUGUGUUUAUUUCCUGAAAAGGCAUCUAAAAAUAUGUUUAUAAUCUUCUGGCUCUUUUGAUGACUUAAUUUUCUUAAAGAAAGUGAAGUUAAAGUCAUAAGUUUCUUAGCAAGGUGGAUGGUUAAGACUUCUGGUUUUUACAGGCCUACUAUAACGAUAAUCAACAAUUCAGCAGUUCCAAGAGCUGACAUAACUUUUCUGUGCUAUAAGUACACUGAGAUAAGAUACAGAUAAUAAUACUUAAGUAAACUGAAUCAUGUUCAUUUUUGUCUAAAAUCCUUUUUCAUUUUCAGUGGGCUUUUUCUUAACUUCGCCUGAGCAUUUCAAUUGUGAAAGAAGUCAAUACAUUGCUGGGAGAGGUCCAGAGAGCAAAGAAAAAACACAAAACAAACCUGAGUUUUUCAGAAGUGCAGAUGGAUACCAGAAUCACCAGUAAGGGUACUAUAAAACAGGUGGUGAAGAACGUAAUGAUGUAUGUACGGUCAGCAUUAGCUCCUGAGUACCUGGAUAAAAUACAAAAUAGCUUGGUACUUUUGUCGAAUGUUUUUAUUCAAGAUGCCCCUUUGCAGCUCUACUCAUAUCACCAGAUGGAGCACUGGGCCAUCUCCCUGCCCAGGGGCUAGGAGAGGAUUCUACAACUAAAGGCAGAGAGCAGCUGUGGGACUCCUUUUCAGGCUGAGGAUCAGCACUGUGUGUGAUUUAGAGCAGGGAGGACAAGCAUUUCUGGCUGUCUUCAUGCAGCUUCAGGAACGGGACAGGACGGAGGAAUGAGUAUCUGUCUCAAUUACCAGGAUUACAGCCAGGUUCUCAGCAAGUGACAGGGAGGUCACCACCAGCAUUACUGCUGCCAGAAGCCUGAACUGCCAGGG